GGACUGUCAAUUCUGAGAUGUACACGACCAUUUGUUUGCCGGAGGUCUUCGGAGACAUUCGCAAAACCAACUGCCGAGCACGAAUCAUUCUCCAUCAUGACAAUGCGAGCUCGCACACAUCUCGACAAACAGUCCUGACUUGGCACCCAAUGACUUCUUUUUAUUCCCUAACAUC